CGGUCUUUGUUGGAACCGCUGCUGGUAAUGUGAGGGUCAUGCAGUACCCGUUACAAGAAGGGGUGAAAUGGACAGAGUACCAGGCUCAUUCAAGUCCCAUCACCAAAAUGGUCAUCACACCUAGUGAUCUGACCUCAGAGGAUGGCUCCCUCCUCAUCUGGACAGUCACUGACAAUCUGGGACGCCUGCUAUGUAUAAAAGAAAUGAAGUACACCGAUGAGGUCCUCUGUGCCAAAUCCUAUCUGGAGCAAAUGGAAAAGAGUUUACAAGAGGCUAACACCCAGGUGAUAAGGCUGGAGUUUGAGCAGGAGCAAGUGCAGAAUCUGAAGGACAGGAUCUACAUGCAGAAGCUCAGUGAACUCGAGCAGAAAUACCUCAAGCAGAUUUAGGAUCUGAAAGCCCAAAACGAGGCACUGAUUGUCGAGAACGAGAAGCAGAAGGCCUUGAUAGAGAAAAUGACAAAAGAUCAUGCCAAAGAGCUGGAGGAUGAAAAACAAGCCCACAAUCAAAAGCUGCAUGAGAAAUAUGAAAAGCACUGUCAGCUGGAGCAUAGAUUAAUUCAGGGUCUGAAGGCGGAUUGUGAAAAAGAAACUUCGCCAGCAAGAGGAAAGCCAUCGUUGUGCCAUGAAGGAGAUGAAAAAGUCCCAUCGGGAUGAACUGCUGGAGCAACAGGCCAAGUUCGGGAAGACUCGAUACGGACAGAUACGAAACAGAUACGGGCGUUUGUGAUCAAAAAACUCGACAUGAUGGAGAUGAACGAAGAAUUCAAAACUGAAAUGGAACUGGCCGAGGAGCAGGUGAGCAAAUUUGAGAACUUGAAAAAGAAGUUGCUGGAUCGAGACACAGACAUCUGUAAGCUAAAGGAGGACCUGAAGCGCAUGAAGCAGGAAGUAAAAAAGGUCAGGGAACUGAGGAAGGAGAAUGAGGCACAAAAUGAGGCUAUCGAUGUACAGAGAAAAUAAAUCUUAGGACUGCUUGCAAAGCUCGAGAAGUUUGACAAAGGAGACUACAUCAACUAGGAAAUGCUGCAAAACCGGUUCAAUCAGGUAAGGUAUGAACGAGAUCAUUUAAAGAAACUCGGUUACCCGAAGGAAAUCAUGCAAAUGCAGCAGAAGAUUGAAGAGAACAAAACAGUCAUCAAAGAGGUGAGAAAUUAUAUUAGGUAUAUUAUUAUUAUUAUUAUUAUUAUUAUUAAUGACUAGCUAAUCCGAGGACAUUUUUUAUUUUAGUUCAAGAUUGAGGUGGUGAGGAGCAACAAAAGAACAAGGAGAUCAUUGAGGACCUGAAGAAGAGGCUGACAUUAAAGGAUGAAGAGUUGCGCAGGGUUGGUUUCACCUGAAUAUGCUUUGUUAAGAUUAAUAAGUAUUUUGUGACAAAUAGUAAUAAAAUAAUUAUUGUAAAAAUGAUCAGAUCUAAAAAAUAAUACAAAUUUAACCAAAGAGCAAAUGGACAGGACUUGCAAACUAAGUUAAAGUUAAAAUUAAUCUUAAUUCCAAGUUAUAUACAGUAUCUGUCCUAAAUAGUAAUCGAAAAUAGAAUUAGUAUGCCCCAAAUCGUGGUAUGCUGAAAAGCAUAUUCCAAAAAUUCCCGGAUGGUCUACUACUUCCGGUAGAAAUUGCAAGUGCAGAGUUGUGUAGCUGGGUUUUAAAGCAGGUUGGAUUUUUUUUGUUGCACUUACAGACCACUUGAUUCAAAUGUGCAUGAAUGGAUACACACAGAUGUGUACUUCUUUUCUGGGGGUGGUAGGGGUGUUAAAUAAAAAAUGAAAAUGAUUAUACCCGUCUUUUUUUCAGUUCAGUUGUUUAAUUUCUACAGGUUUUGUAACAUUCUAAAAGCUCUUAA